rnacentral:rRNA from 1 species
UUUUAUGGAGAGUUUGAUCCUGGCUCAGGACGAACGCUGGCGGCGUGCCUAAUACAUGCAAGUCGAGCGAACAUCAAAGGAGCUUGCUCCUUUGAUGUUAGCGGCGGACGGGUGAGUAACACGUGGGCAACCUACCUUAUAGUUUGGGAUAACUCCGGGAAACCGGGGCUAAUACCGAAUAAU